rnacentral:lncRNA from 10 species
CUGGAAUCUUCCCCUCGUGCACUUGGGUUUCAGUUUGCUGAAUAAGACGGACUCUGCUGCCUGCUCUUCAGAGAAGGUUUUGGUGGAGGACUCCCCUCAGGUGCCCCUGCCUGGAUCCCCCACUGCCCCAGAAGGCUGGCCUUCAGAUGCCUGGGUAGCUGGCUUGCUUGACCCAAGCAUGGACAAGUGAGAACAGAUGAAAGAGGCCAGCAGACCCAGGACCCAGCCCUUUCUCUGCCACCAGCCAGCACUCACUCUGCUGUGUGACCUGAGACCAGGCAGACCAUCUCUCUGGGUCUCAGUUUCCCCCUCUAUAACACCAGGGGCUGGUCUUCAUGAUCCCAGGGCCCUCCCCAGCUGUGCCCAUCUGCAACUGUGAGAUUCUGAGAGCAGAGGAGGGAAGGCGGGAUGGCCCCUCUUUCCCCACCGCCUCUCUCUGUCCCCCAGGGUCACCCCAAAGCCGCCCCCUCCCCCGGCUCCCUGGAACUUCCCUGCAGCUGCAGGCCUGGUGAGACAAUUGGGUGUUUUAGAGAAAUACAUUUUUG